UUCAACUGGAAUGCUUUGCAAAUGGCAAGAAAAGCCCCUGGCCAAAGCCCGGCAGCCCCCAAGUAAAUAUUUACAGAGGGAUCCUCUCUUUGGGCACAUCCCCAUGGCAGGGAAAGGGGACCGGACAGCUGCGGCUGCCAUACCCUCGCUGAGCAGGGAGAAGCGGAAGCUCCCUGGAAAUUUUGUAAUGGUUACAAACAGGUUUUCUCUUUUCCUCAAUGAAUCCAGCAUUGGAGUUGUCCCCAUAAAUCUGCUGUCAAACAACCUUUCUGUCCCCCAAAUAAGAAACAUCUAGCAGCCCCAGAGCAAGAGGCAGUUUCCCCCUUGGAAGGGGGUUUUGCAUCCCUCCAGGUGUGCCUGUCUGCAAGUGAUGAGCCAGGCUCUGUGUGCACACAGAUGUGCUUGGCACAGGCCUGGCUUCCUGGGAUAGCCUCAGCCGGUGUUUGCUCAGUGUGGGUUUCCUAGGAAGAACAGGAAGCAUAUCCUUCCCCUACUAUAAGGAGCAGGCAUGGCAAAGCCCACUGUAAUGCUAUGGGUAGGGAAUGUCUCAUCCCCACUGCGCUCGCAGUUCUGACUGAGUUCUGCUGUGAUGCAGCCCACAAAGAAUACUGAAACUGGUGUAGAUGCCCUGUGUUCCAGGGGCUCGAUCUGAAUGAAAAUGAAGUUCUCAGUAGAUGCUACGUAGUUUGGGGCAGUUUCUUGGCUGGGUGCAGCAGAGCGGGGAAGCCACCAGGAAGCUGGUUACAGCUCCCUGACCCUCUCCUGGCUCUGGAUGCAGGUUAGAGCACCCUGAGGGCUGCUCCAAUGUGUGCUAGCAGGCAGUUGUCCCCAAGAAUCUGAGCACUAGCUGAGCACAGCUGGAGUGCAAGGGAUGCCACCCACCCACUCUUUAUCCCUCCUUGCACCCAGGUAGGAACUGCUACCUGCUAGAGACUGUGUUCAUUUUCUUAACCAGAAAAAAAUGUCCCCACAUUUGGAGAUAUUUCUCCAGGUGAGAUUUUUAUGCAGACAAAUUGUCGUAAGCAGAAGGCUGAGCAGGCCCCAGCAAGCAGGGUUGGAGGGGGCAGAUGCUGAGCUCGCGUACUGUUUUGGAAGGGUCUCCUGCCACAUUUAAAGUCAUGUCCCCUUGGCACGAUGUGUCUUGCUUGCUCUGCUGUGCUGCUUUGGCUGAGGGUUGUUUUCUUGGAACACAAUUUCUCUUUGGCCAACCAGGCCCGGAGGGACACUGGAAAUGCAACAUGUGCCUGAGGCUAAAUGAGGGUGAAAAACCCCUGCCCAAAAGCCUGCUCCCUCUGAGGGGUGUGGCUCACAUCCAUCUCUCAGCCUGAGCUCCAGGAACUGUGGAAGGGGAUGGGGCUUGUGCUUUGGGUGUCAGAGCAUGGGGAGGUAUGGGGGUGGGGAGCUCAGAGGCCUAGGAGAAACAUGAAGCCAUCAGUGAAGCACCAGAGUGGGAAGCAGCAUGAGGAAAUCAGAGAAUUUACCUAGCCCAAUCUGGAACAUCAUGGAGAAAAGGGAUGUUUGGGAAGCUUGAGGAAAAGGAAUGUGGUACCAAUCUUCAAGCAAAGGGAAGGAGAGAGAUCCUGACAAUUACUGUGCUGGAAGGGUAAUUUAUAAUGGAAUAGCCAAGGUCAUAGUGGGAAGAAGAAGAUGCUGAGGGAGAGAGGACAAGGAGAUGCUGCUGAGAUUCCUGCAGGGAGAGGCAGCAUGCUCACUCCCCAGGCAGGAUCAAAGGGCUUCCAGCACGCACUGCAGAGCCCUUCCUCUCACUACUGCAGCACCAAAGGGGUUAUUCAGCCUGCACUGAAUGCAAGCACUGGCCUAGAACUUGGGCUCUGGCCUCUGAGGGGAAAUAGAGGAUGAAUUAACAGAAGAGCAGAGGCAGGUAGAAAGAUUGUUGGAGAGAAGGAAACAAGGGGAUCAGGUGGAGAGAGAAGCACAAGAGCAGGUCACAAGAUUGAUGGAGUUAGUUGGGGAAUCACAAAGUGGUGGGUUUUUGAAGUGAGACAGAUGAAUGAGUGGGGUGGGGGUUCUGGAGGAGUGAGGGAGUGAGACAAGGAAAUAUGGAGGUGGCAUAAAAAGCAGUGGUGGAGAGAAAUGGGGAAGUACAAAGGUGAUUGAGUGAGCUGGGUAAGCAUGAGGGAGGGCCGGGGGAACCAUUAAGGGUGCUAUUGGGAAGUGGUGGUAGUAGUGGAAGAAGAGAAAGCACAAGGGGAGAAUCAGGUGGACAGAUGGUCAGGAGGAAACAUGGGAGUAGGGGAGAGAUGAGGAAGGUCAAGGGGACAAUAAUGGAGGGAGUCAGAGAUACCUGAAGUGGGGAACUGAGUGGGGAAUCACAGCAGGUUAUAAGGAAACCUGGUGGACAAGCCAAGGGAUAGCAAUGGUGGGAGCUGAAGAAGCAUGCAGGUGUUGUCUUGUGAGGAGCAAUUAGGGAGAUGAGGAAGCACUGGGGCAGUCAGUGGAGAGUGAUGCUGGAAGAUGAGGGAGAGUAAGGCAGAAGAGAUGGCAGCAGAUGAGGAAGCAUUGGGACAGCUGGGAGGCAAGAAAGCACAGGGAAAUGAAUAAAGGGGAGGGUUGAUGGCAGCUGAAGAAGCAUGAGGGGAUGUUGCGGGAGAGGUGGACAAUGAAGAAGCAUAAGGGAAUGAAUAAAGGGGAGAGUUGGUGAUGGAUGAAGCAGCAUGUGGGGGUAUCAUGGGAAAGAUGGCAGGAGAUGAUAAACAUGGGGCAGUCAGAGUGGAGGGACAGUGGGAAAUAAGGAAGCCAGCUGGGGUCAGGUGGGAAAGCUGGCAGGAAAUGAAGCAUGAGAGACACUGGGAGGGAGAGAUGGCAGGGAAAGAGGGAAAAAGGACAGUGUGGGCAGAGCUGGUGGCAGAUAAGGAAGCAUGAGGGGGUGCCAAGGAUGACAGAAGAUAAUGAAACAUGGGAAGAGGCUUAGUGGGGAAGGAAGAUGGGAAAUGCAGGCACAUGGGGAUUGUCAGUGGAGAGCAAUGGCUGUAUAUGAGGAGGCACAGAGGUGUGAGUAAAAGCAGAAUGAUUGGAGCGGUGAAGAAGCACAAAGUAGAAUCAAGGGGCAGUGAUAACAGGAUAUGAGGAAACACAGAGAGCGGGAUGGAGAGGAGGGGUCAUGAGGAGGCAUGAGGAGUAGUAAAGUGGGAAUGAUGCCAUGAAAGGGGGAUGAAUGGGGGUGGUAGAUAGGGAGAAGAGAGGGUGAUAAAUAAGGGAGCAUGGAGAGAUCAGAAUGGAGAGAAAGCAAGAAAUGAGGAUACACGGGGUUCGGAGCUGAGGAAGCAUGAGGGGGUCAGUGGAGCGUGAGGAUUGUAGAUGACAAUGUAUGAAGGGGAAUCAAGGGGGAGUGAUGAGAGUCAGACAAAAGAGAUGGCACCACAUGAGAAGCAUGGGGGCAAGUCAGUGGAAGAGAUGGUAGAAGAUGAGGAAACAUGGGAUGGUUAAGUGUGAGUGAUGGAGUGAGAUAGGGAAGCAGGAGGUGGGGGAUCAAGGUGAGUCCACAUGGGGACAUGGAGAAGUCCAAUGGGAUUUGAGGAGGAGUGAUGGAGAAAGAUGGGGAAGCCUGAGGGGUGGAUUGGAGGCAAUAGUGGGAGAUGGGGAAGCAUGAGGACGGAAUGGGGGCAAUGGUGGGUGAUGGGGAAGCACAAGGAGGGAAUGAAGGGAUUAUGGGAGAUGGGGAAGCACUAGGAGGUAAUGGGGUGAGGGUGGGAGACAGCAAAGCAUGAGUCGGGAAUGGGGGCAAUGAUGGAGAAGGGGGUAGCACAAGGUGGGAAUGGGGGUGAGGGUGGGAGAUGGGGAAGCAGGAGGAGGGAAUGGGGAUGAGGGUGGGCGACAGGAAAGCACGAGUCAGGAAUGGGGUAAUGGUGGAGAAGGGGGUAUCACAAGAUGGGAAUGGGGGUGAGGGUGUGCGAUGGGGAAGCCUGAGUCAGGAAUGGGGGGAUAGUGGGAGACGGGGAAGCAUGAAGCAGGAAUUGGGGGAUGGUGGAAGAUGAAGCAUGAGUGGGGAUCAAGGGUUAAUUAGAGAGAGAAGGGAAAAUGCGAGAGGUGGGGGUUGAAGGAACAAAGAAUGGAGAUGGGGAAACAUGAUGGAGGAUUUAGUAGGUAACUUGUAGGGGGAAGAAGCUCGAGGGCCUUCAUGGGAGCACUGCAGGGAAAUGGGGAAGCCUGAGUAUUUGGGGGCAUGAUGUAGGGAGAUGGGGAAGCUGAAGAGUUCAGGAUACGGACUGAGGCAGUUGAGGUUUCAGAAUAUGGACUGAGGGAGCUGAGGGAACACAAAGGGGACUUAGGGGAGCAAUGCAGAGAGACCGGGUGGCAGGGAUGGGUUGAGAUGUGAAUGUAGAGAAAUAGGGAACACAGGAAGGGAGGCUGUGGGGAGCAAUAGAGGGAAACAGAAACACAGGAGGUUGGCAGGGAGAGUUACAGAGGGAGAUGAGAGGCAUGAGGAUGGGGACUGGGGUAAUGAGAGAGGGAGAUGAAGCAGCAUGAGACAGAGUCAAGUGAGAGAGGUGGCAGAAAAUGGGGAAACACAAGGGACAGUUUGGGGGACAAAUACUGGCAGAUGAGGGAACAUGAGGGGGACUGAAAGGGAAGCAAUGGUGGGAGAUGAGGGAACACGAGCGUAGUGAAAAAGGAGCGAUGGAGGGAGAUGAAGGAAAACGGAGGAGUUAAAGGGGAGCAAUGGUGGGAGAUGAGGUAAUGUGGGGGGACUGAAAGGGAAGUGAUGGAGGGAGAAGAGGGAACAUGAGGAGGAGUGAAAGGGGCGAGAUGGUGGAGAUGAGGGAAGACGGAGAAGGGGAGUGAAAGCGGAGAGAUGGUGGGAGAUGAGGGAAAAUGGGGGGGAAUGAAAGGGGAGCGAUGGUGGAAGAUUAAGGAACAUGGGGGAGUGAAAGGGGAGAGAUAUCAGAGAUGAGAUAACAUGGGGGAGUGAAAGGGAGUGAUGAAGGGAGAUGAGAGAACAGGGAGAGAGUGAAAGGGAAGCGACGGAUGGAGAUGAGGGAACAUGAGGAGGAUUGACAGGGGAGAGAUGGUGGGAGAUGAGGGAACACAAGGGGGAGUGAAAGGGGAGAUGGAGGGAGAUGAGGGAACAUGAGGAGGAGUGAAAGGGGAGCAAUGGUGGGAGAUGAGGGAACAUAAGGGGGAGUGAAAGUGGAGAGAUGGUGGAAUAUUCGGGAACAUGGGGAGGGGAAUGAAAGGGGAGCGAUGGAGGGAGAUGAGGAGGAGUGAGAGGGGAAUGAUGGAGAUCAGGAAACAUGGGGGAGUGAAAAGGGAGCAAUGGUGGGAGAGGAGGAAACAUGGGCAGGGAAUGAAAGGGCAGUGAUGGUGGAAGAUGAAGGAACACGGGGGUGGUCAUUUCAGAGCUCUGGAGAGAGGAUGAUGAAGCACACUGAGGAAGUGAAAGGAAGAGAAAUAGCUGCAAAUGAGGACACAUGAACCGGAGUCAAGGAGAGAUGAUGGAAAAUUAGAAAACUGAGGUCUUGAGGGUGAGUGACCAAGACAGGAUAGCACAAGGUGGAGGGGUCAAGUUAAUGCCAUGUGAGGAGGUGGGGAAGCACAAGGCGAUUGAGGGGGAGCCAUUAAAGAUGGGGAAGCCUGAGGAGGGACUGGGGGUGAUGGUGGGAGAUGGGGAAGCACAAAGGAGUUCAGUGGGAGACUUUGGAAGAUGAAACAUGAGUGGGGAUCGAGGGUGAAUUGGAGUGAGACAGGGGAACAAGAGCUGGGGGGAGUUGGGGUAGCACAAAGGAGGCUGUUGGUUGUGAUGAUGGGACACGGGAUAGCUGGAGGGGACUGUAGGGAGUGAUGGUGGGAGAUGGGAUAGCAGGAGGGAGCGAUGGUGGAGAUGAGGGAACACAGGAGUGUUCAGUGUGAUGGUGGGAGAUGGGAUAGCAGAAGGGGGCUGUAGGGAGUGAUGGUGGGAGAUGGGGUAGCAGGAGGGAGC